CGGGGAUCGAACUCAGGACCUUGUGCUUGCACAGCAGGCGGCGAAACCACUGAGCUAAAUUCCCGGCCCCCUGUUGUUCAUUUUUAAUUGGUUCGUGAAGUGGUAUAGUAACUAAAGGUAGAUUGUAGUAAUGUUUUCUAUUAAAAAAACUAAGGACUACCAGUGAACAGAAUCUAAUUGAUAUUUAUAGAACAUUCUACACAAUGGCAAAUUUUACAUUUACCCGUGGAAAAUGCACUAAAACCUUAAAACCUUGACCAUAUAACAAAUCUUAAUAAAUUUAAAAGAAUUUAAAUUGUACAGAAUAUGUCCUCUGCCCAUAAUGGAAUCAAACUAGAAAUCAGUAACAGAAUAACAACAGGAAAAUCACCAGACACUUGAAUUAAACAGCACAUUUAUAAGUAAUUCAUGGAUUAUAAAGAAAGCAUCAAGGGGGAUUUUUUAAAAUUCAUAGAAUUGAAUGAAAAUGAGUAGAGAAUGAAUCAAACUUUGGAAUGCAGCUAAUGAAAUGCAUAGAGAGAAAUUUACUACACAGUGUGCUUAAAUUAUACAAGAAGAAAGAUUUCAAAUCAGUAAUUUUCAUGCCUCAAACUAGGAGUACAAGGAGCGAUCAAAAUACAGUGAGCUUAAAUUUUAAAAAGUUACAGUAAAAGGCACAUUAUCAUUCAUUGCUCUCAAAAUUGCUCCCUCUUGAUAAGCACACUUAACCCAUUGUUCUUGCCACUUUCUGAAGCAGUUAUGGAAGUACCAUUUUGUGUCUUUAUGUGUGACCAAAACUACAGUGAAUGCUGCUGCUGAGUGCUUUCCAACAGAAAGGCAGACUCACAAAAACAUUACUGUGUGUCCUUAUCCAUCUUAUUCACAAGAUCCGGUACCAUGUGGUUUCUGGUUCUUCCUCGAAGUCAAAAUGACCAUAAAAGGUAAAUGUUUAUUAAUUCAGAACAUUGAGGCAGCCAUGACAGCACAAUUAAAGACAAACUAAAGACAGACAAGAACAGUGGGAUAAGUGUGUUCAAAGCAAAGGGGAAUAUUUUGAGGGAGAUUAAAUAUGUCUUUUAUUUGUAAUGUUUAUUUUUAGUAUUUUUAAAAAAUUUAAACAUUGACUAUUGUUCAAUCACACUUUGUAGAGCAAACUACUAAAUCUAAAGCAAACAAAAGGAAAAUGAUAAAGAGCAGAAGUUAGUGAAAAUGAAUUAAAAACCUGGGCCUUCAAAAAACAGAUUGAUACACCUAUAGCAAGACUGACUAUGACAAAAGAGAAAACACUGAUAUUAGGCAUGACCAAUUCAACAACUUAAAAGAAACAGACAAAUUACUCAAGAAUCACAAAAUACUAACACUUGGCCGGGAUGCAGUAGCAAAGAUAAUGAAAUUGUAAUGAAAACAUUUUUGAAAUAUCUCUGAACCCUGAUAGUUUCACAGGAGAAUCUUAUGAGACAUCUAAAGAAGUGAUUUUAUGUAGUCUCUUGAGAAAAUAGAAGAAAUUUAUGAGGAAUUUAUUUUAAAUUUGCAAGGCUGGUUCAAUAUCAGAAAAUCAGUAUAAUCUACCAUAUUAGUAGUCUAAAAACCAUAUGAUCAUAGCAAUUGAUUCAGAAAAGUGAUUUAAAAAACACCUAUUCAUAUUAAACUUAGUACACUAAAAAUAGAGUUUCCUCAGUUUUAUAGAGGACUGUAUUAGCUUUGUGAUAAUGAAAUAGCUGAGGCAACUAAGAAGAGGUGUACAUAAUUCAGUUCUGGAGGUUCAGAGGCAUCAGUUACACUGAGGCUGGUAGAUGAUGGUACAUCAUGGCAGAGUGGCUGUAGGAGCAAAAUGGACACAUCGUAAACCAGAGAAGAGAAAGAAAAGGCUGGCAUGGUCCCCGAUCCCAUUCAAGGCAUACCUCCAAUGACUUAAGGACUUCCCACUAGACCCUACCUUCCAAAGUUCCACUACCUCCCCAUAGUGCUUCCCUGCAGACCAAGCCUUCACUCAUGGACCUUUUGGGGACCCAGACCAAUAUCCAAACCAUAGCAAGGCUCUACCAAGAAAAAUGUGCAACUUUCAUCAUUCUUAAUGUUGAAAACCAGCCACCCCUCUAAGGUGAGGGACAGUGAGAGGAUGUACACUGUCACUGCUGCAAGCAUAGUAUUGGAAGUUACUGGUAUUCCAAGUUCUAGGCAAGAAAAACAAAAAGCAUGCAGGCUAGAAAUGAGAAUAUGAAGUUGUCUCUGCAGUUGACAUGACUGCCUACCUGGAAAGCCUACAACAAAACUAUAGACUAGGUAACUUCAGUAAGUUUGCAGAAUAUGGGAUCAACAAAAGUCAGUUAUAUUUGCUACAUUGUAGCAGACAAGUCUAAAAAUUUAAAAUACACCGUUUACAGUUGCACCCAAAGAAAUGUACUUAGAAAAAAAAAAUGUACUUAGGCUUAAAUGCACCAAAACAUUUAUAAGAUCUGUGUGAUGAAAAUUGUAAAAUGCUCAUAAGAAAAAGAAUCAAAUGGAUUGAUUUAUCAUGUUCCUGGGUUGAAAGAUUGAACGUAGUAUAAGUGUUUCUCUGCAUUUUUGUAUAUAAUGCAAUUCCUGUAGAAGCCCCAGCAAGUUCUUGUAGAUAAGAUUCUAAAGUUUAUAUGGAAAGGGAAUGGCCUUAGAAUAAACAAAAC
ensembl:lncRNA